rnacentral:lncRNA from 1 species
AGAUUAAUGAAAUUUCUUCUUUCUCAACAUCUCUUAUAACUCGUAAUCUCCCUUCUUAAUCCUACCUCUUCUCAUCUCUUCUAUUCUCUUCUUCCUAUCUUCUUCUUUCUAUCCUUUUCAUCUACUUUAUCGAAUACCCCAAUUCUGGUCCGAUCGAUCCGAGGCAAGCUGUUACGUGUAUCAUCAUCCUCGAUGCCGUCCUUCAUCUCAGCGAUAUCUCAUCAUCGACGGGUUGCGCCGAGUCAGGUACGUAACAAUUGGUAUCAGAGC